rnacentral:rRNA from 1 species
AACGCGAAGAACCUUACCUGAUCUUGACAUCCCGAUGACCGCUUCGUAAUGGAAGCUUUUCUUCGGAACAUCGGAGACAGGUGGUGCAUGGUUGUCGUCAGCUCGUGUCGUGAGAUGUUGGGUUAAGUCCCGCAACGAGCGCAACCCCUAUCUUCAGUAGCCAGCAGGUUAAGCUGGGCACUCUAGAGAGACUGCCAGGGAUAACCUGGAGGAAGGUGGGGAUGACGUCAAAUCAUCAUGCCCCUUAUGACCAGGGCUACACACGUGCUACAAUGGCGUAAACAAAGAGAAGCGAACUCGCGAGGCUAAGCAAAUCUCAAAAAUAACGUCUCAGUUCGGAUUGUAGUCUGCAACUCG